rnacentral:rRNA from 1 species
GUGUCAGCAGCCGCGGUAAUACGUAGGUGGCAAGCGUUAUCCGGAAUUAUUGGGCGUAAAGGGAGCGCAGGCGGCUUAUUAAGUCUGAGGUUAAAGUUCGGGGCUCAACCCCGUGAUGCCUUAGAAACUGGUAGGCUAGAGUGCAGGAGAGGUGAGUGGAAUUCCAUGUGUAGCGGUAAAAUGCGUAGAUAUAUGGAGGAACACCAGUGGCGAAGGCGGCUCACUGGCCUGUAACUGACGCUGAGGCUCGAAAGCGUGGGGAGCAGAUAGGAUUAGAAACCCCUGUAGUCC